ACUUUUUUUCUUCUCUU
rnacentral:sRNA from 1 species